UCCUCCCAGAAGGAUGCUGGAGAGGCAAAGACCAACAAGUCUAACCUGGGGACCCAUGUGCCUUUCCUGCAAGGUCUGUUAAAGGUUAGUAGCAUAUUCAUCUCUGUAUUAUAAUACAGCCCAAAACCUGAAGCAAAGAGAAGGAAUUUCCUGUUGCUGUGAAGAACAUCAGAUAGUCUGCAUGGCCAUGGUAUACCAGGACCUGUCUUCUCUCUCUCUCCUGCCAAACCACAUUUAGGGAGGUCUUGUGCUGCAAUGCUGUGGAAAGGAACAGCCCUUGCUUUCCAUUCCAACUGCUUUUGUUUGGACAGGUAAGUAUGGAUGUGAAUUCCUCCCUUCUGAAAAGGCCAGAUGAGCCUGUUCCAGGUGACAGGGAUACAAACUGAAAGGGCUUCUAUGGAUUUAAUGGGAAAGGCAUAUUUUAACAGAGUUCUUUUUGUUCCAGAAGACUGACUUGGCCUACAAGGAAAUGGAUGGGAAGUAGUACAGGCAAGAGGCGUGGAUGAGCUGCACAGCAUCUCACCAUUCCUGGGCAGCAGCCUAGCCAUGGGGCCUGUUUUCUGUCUCACAGCUUUCCAUGGAAUGAGAAAAAUAAAAAUAGAGCCUUGGGCAAGAGCCGGAGCCUGGAAAAUCUGAUCCCAAAAGGUGGAUGCAUUGUGGAGUAGGGAGCAUGUGAAAACAGCUGCUUAAACUGAAAUCAUUUCAUAGAUUGAAGUACAGAAACUCCCCCAAGCCUGUCUAAAACCUGGAGUGAACUCUUCUUGAAAGGCAGAGGUAGAAGAGGCCAUCAGCAACUCACCUGAACCACUCCCAAAGCCACAGGUGGCUGCAGGACCCAGAGAGAAGCCAAGUCAAAUGAGAAGAGGCUUUUGGACCAUGUAAGGACUACUGCAGCACGUUGUGCAGUGGAGGAAGGGCUGGUGUGAGGUGAGAGCCAAAACUACACUGCCCUGCUCCAUGAAAACCAGUGGACACGCUGCUGAAGGUUAAUACUGCUUUCCUGUGCACUCAGGAGUUCAAAAGGGGCUGCCUUAUGGGAUGCUUUAAGGAGAUGCCUUAUGUUCAGCCCCAUCCCACUGAGGUCCUCCCAGAGGACCCCUGAGGACAGCAGUGGGGGGCAGUGGUGCUUCAGCUUGAUGCCUCCUUCCCAGCUUCAUUCUUAAUGGGCACUGGUGAGCAUUUAGGCUCUGCGGGUCACUAGGAAUGAGCUGAUUUCUGUCGAGUUACUACAAGGUGUGAUUAUGAAGUGUUAGGAUAUACGGGCUGCAGGGUUUUACAGCUGGGUCUUAAAGGGCUCAUAACAAGAACAGAAAGGAGGGGGGGGUGGGGCUUAAACUGGAAGCCAGGAGCACAGUCAAGUUAGGAGUACAAUGGCAAUGCUAAUUCCAAUCCCUUGGAGAGAAGGGGGAAGGAAAUGACCUAACUCCCAGUGCUGUCAAGGGAGAGGCAAGCCAGAGGCUGGAGAGGCUCCCUUGGGUGAUGGGAGAUAAAGCCUUAACAUCUCCUUUCUCCCCUACCUCAGAGCAGGUGAGUGUCCUUGCUUUGUCAGGAGGGCCAGGAGGGGCAUACAUGCCAUGGAGAAUUUAGUAGAAUCCCAGCCUGGUUUGUGUUGGAAGGCACCUUAAAGCUCAUCCAGUUCCAAUCCUCUGCCACAGGCAGGGACACCUUCCACUAGAGCAGGUUAUCUCCAGCUGUCUCUCCUUCCCUGCUCUACAGGGAUCUACUGGAGACAAGGUUUCUUACAGGGUCAGGUCUUUCUCUAUGUUAUUGGCCUCCAGCACUUUGCUGUUUCCUAAGUGUUUUUGGCAGUGUGAAAUGCCACAGCAUGUUUUGUGGCAUCAAAAGACUCACUUCCCAGAGGUAAAGAGUGGACCUUACAAACUCAGUUGUGGUAGUGCUAAUGCACUGUCUUGGUGAGCAAGGAAAAUACUCUGUCAUUACAAUAAGUACCUAAGUAGGAUGGCAAAGUAGCUGGCAAAGCUGAUCCACCCUCCUUUCCUCAUGGGAAAGCCAAGUUCUCUGCAUUCGAUUUUCUUUUUUCCCUAUGUUUAAAAUGACUCAACCCCUUUCCUCUGUGUUCUGGAAGGCUUUUCAACAUGGUGAAACCACACAGCAGCAAAUCCACAGCUGAGUAAGUCCACAGAGAACUGAUCUCACCUACUUGCAAGAACCAGUGCUACAUUUGCUUCUGGUUCAACAGUGGAGAGGAAAAGGAAGGAAGAGGACAUUUUAGCAAAGGACCUGGCAGCACAGCAUGGAAGGCACAACUGGCCAGGUUUUGUGUCUCUCUCUGCAGCACACAAGGUGAUGGUUCUAAUGCAUCUCCAGCCUGGGACUUCUUUAUUGAGCCGAGAGGUACAAAGUCAGGCUCAUUUGUUAACAGAAACGUUGCAUCACUGAUAGGAGAAAGAUUCUUUAAGAGGUAUUAUCAGAACAGUCCAUGUUAUUUCUUUAAUGGAAGCUGACUUUUGGUAACCAAGAUGUUUUAGAGGGCCUCUCUGGAGCCACUUCCAACCUACAUGAAAGCAAGCAGAGCAAAAAUGGGCAGGGGUUGGUUUGAAAUACCAUGAAGGAAACAGAAGCCCCUUGGCUGGGAGUGAGGGGAGGUGGUUAAACGUGUCAAGAGUUCAUUUUCAUUCCUUAAUUAGCUCUAACCCUUGUGCCCUGCCCCAGCGAGGGGAAGGCAGGCGGGGAGCGCUGCCCUGUGCUGCAGCGGAGUGGGGACAACAACCGGAGACAUGUUUUAUGUUCACACCCCACCUCGGAGGUAGGCCGGCAUCCAGAGCAUGCCGUAAACCAGGCAGGAAUGCCGCUGCCUGGAAACAUGCUCGUAAUUUUUGUGCCACUCUUUCCAAGAGACACCUUUCCUCAUGUAACUGUUCUCAAACCACAACAUGUUCCCAUUCCCCUCCUGAUAAUGCUUUGUAGUUUCUCUCUUUUUAAUGCUGAGUUUGGAGUAAGGGGGGGGGGUUAGUGCUUGUUUUGCUUAGUUUCCUUAAAUCCCCCCUCACCAGAACAGCCAGGGGGCUUCUUUUCCCCUUUUAUUCUCUUAGGGCUCAAUUCAAUAAAUAUACAUCCGGCUCCUUCGCAGUCCUAGGCUGGCUUAAUGAAACUGUGCAAGGCACUUCCAAGAGAAGGAUGUUUAUUUUUCUCUGCUGAUUCGGUUAGACUGGUCCAGCUCUUGUGUGCCCAGAGAGCUGCUCUAUAAAGAGACCCUUAUGAUUGCAGUGGGGAUGCUGUGUCAGGCGGUAAGUGCCUGCACUCACUCAACACUGGGAUUCUCUUACUGCAGGGAAAGGGGUGCAGGCAGAUGGCUGGAUUUGCUAUAUACAAUGCACGGGGAUAAAAAAGCCUGCUAAGAGCACAGUGUUAAGGUGGGAAAGUCAAGCACUUGCAAGGCAGAUAGAGCUAGAGCUGUCUGGAGAGCAGGCUUAAUUCAUCUGUUUAUGGGAGCACAUUAUGAAACACGCUCCCAUUUUUGCAUAGUCCUGUGCUUGUUUCUUAGGUAAUAGCAUUUUCUAGCUUUUGCCAGAACUUGCCACCUUCACAGUGUACUUUCUCCACAGAUAAUCCAACACCACAAAGAUCCCAAUGCCUGUUCCUAGCUGGAAGCAGCAGUGAAGUCAAGCGGCUCCAAAAGGAAGGUGGAGAUGUAGAUACUGCUGUGGUGGACUUGGUGAGCCUUUUAUCACUAAUGCAGGCUUAUGAGCUGCUUGGUCAGUGCUGGUGAGACCAAGUUUGAUGGCAGCAGCCCUACUGCAAGACACUGGGAGUCCCUUAGGCCUGCCUCAAAUGCCUUGAUGGGUCGGACUACAUGAAUUUCAAAGGUCCAUCCAACCCAAACCAUUUAACUUCUCUAUGUGUCAGGAGGCAAUCACUGCUCUGGGACAUUCUGCCUCUUUGCAAUAAAGUAUGAAAACCUGGCAGCAGCAGUGGGGAUGGACACAUGCAGAAAAGCCAGAUGCAUUCAGAUGCCAGUAGUUCAGGGUGAUUGCUGUCCUCUUUGGGCCUGGCAUUGAAUGUUCACAGAAUAAACCAUGUUCUUUGCCUGAGGGACAUUCAGCCAAAGCCACAAGGCAGAGUAAGUGUCCCUCUGACAACGCCAGCAUUGUCAGCAAUAAGCAGUGGGAAAUCAGGAGUCAGGUCCCUCCUGAUCCUUAGUUCCUGAUGUGCAAUUGAUUUUGCAAAGCACCAGAUUCAAAACAACCCAUGGAUUUAGUUCUUUUGUUUUUGCCUUCCCAUUCACAAUCUCAGUUUCCUACCCAGUGAGGAAGCCCACAGUGUAUUUCUGAAUGAAAGCUGAGUGCCUUUCACAGCAUCUUUGGCUCUGCUUCCCAUGACAUGGGAUUAGGAAAUCUCCAUCUUCCCACUGAAAGGAGGGAGGGCGAUGGCUCAGGGAGCAUCAGAGACCUGCCAAAAAUCACAAAGUGAGGGGCAGGGGUGGGAACCCAGUUCCUAUGAGUGGUAAUCUGCUACCUUCCUACUUGUCUUGCCCUCAGCUGCUUUGGGACGAGCCGAUCUUGUUGCUUUGAGUUAGAUUUGCUUCCUAGUUUGCUACUUACGACAAUGUUUAAUGGUUUUAAUAAACCAGAAGGCAUUCCUUUCAAAUUAGGUUGAUCUGCAAAACCCAACCAAGUGUUUCCAUUACUACAGCUGCUUCUCCCUUCAGCUGAGGACAGAGGCAGUGUGCUGCAGGCUGGAAAGGGUGUCCAUUCAUCUACAGGUUGCUGUCAGCUCUUGGGAGAAAUGGCCAUCUGGAGCCUUCCUCUGGUGGCAGAUGUGGGAACAUCAAAGGAGAAGCAGGCACCUCCUUCAGCUCAGUCACCAAACAGAACACCUCCUUGCAGGCAGGUUAGAAAACAACAUAAAAUCUGCUGAAGACAAGUUUCCAUUGACAGCAAAGAGCUGCCCAGAAAUGAGUCACGCAGGAAUGGUUCAGACCUCCCCCACUCUCACCAGGGGAUUUGCAGACAAAAGGGAUUUAUUUAUUUAUGGGGUUUUUUUGCUAUUUUUUCUUUUCAGAAAAUACUCAGAUUUUGAUGGAAAAAUACAACGGGGAAGUUUUUUUUCCCCUUUGUUUUUGCCUUUUGAACAACUUCUUUCACCACUUGUGUGGAAUUCUGAGAAAUACCUUGAGGAAAAGCAAGUGCGGGAAAAAAGAGAAGAGCUGUAACAGCUUGGGAGGAGAAGAGUUCAUUUCAUAGAUCAUAGAAUCACAGGAUAGUUUGGGUUGGAAAGGCCCUUAAAGCUCAUCCAGUUCCAACCCCCUGCUACGGACAGGGACACCUUCCACUAGAGCAGGUUGCUCCAAGCCCUGUCCAACCUGGCCUUGAACACUGCCAGGGACGGGGCAUCCAAAUACUUGUAAGCAUGUUUGCUCCAUGAGCUGGGGGCCUGUGGCCAAGGUAUGUGCUGCCACCCUCUUUCAACCUAACCCACACCUCUCUGAGUACAACCAGGAUGAAAUGCAACCUGCUAUGGAGCCAGUUUUCCUUAAGGGUGUCAUUGCAUGGUGAAGCCAGUGUAAUCUUUCCUCUGCGACCACCUUGGGGCUGGCAUGCUCCAUGCAGGACUGACUGUGCUGCUCAGCUGGGAGCAGCAGGGGUACUGGUCAUCUGUCUCAUUUUGUGCCAUGAUGAAGAUGAGAGCAUGUCUGUAAGUACAGAAAUACAUAACAAUUGGUGGAGGAGAGAGAACACUGUGGUUAAAUGGAGGCAUUUGCUGCAAGAACUGAAUGAACCUCAAAUCGUGAGUGAUCCAGACACUGGUGUUCCAGCUUCAUCUGGCCUGUUUACCCUCACUUUGUUCCUCUCUGCUUUGACCAUGGGGACAAAUCCCAUAUUACAAGUAAACACUGCUACAUCCUCUGCUGCCCUUCCUUGCCUGUCUGCACUUUCCCCACGGGAGAAGAGAGAAGAGCCAGCUCUGCAUGACACAGUGAGUAAACAAGUCUAUUUUAAAGACUGAUUGUGCUGAGUAGGAGUGGCCUUUCCCUAAGAGCUUUGAAAACUGGCAUUGCAUUUCUGCUGGGAAAGCACUAAAGUACAAAGGUUUCUGUCCCUUGCACUAACCGUCCCCUUGUGCACACAGGCAUUAAUGGCUUUUGGUCCAGGGCCAUGUGUAUGAAAGCCCAUGGACUAACAUGCCUUUUUCCUCUGGAUGAGACCAGCAAUCCAACACCACCCUUUGCAGCUGGAAGAGCUUAUUAAAUCUAGUCCCAUUAAGUCUGUGAGGGCUGCGGACAAUGCAACGGCUAAGAAAGCUGCUCUGGUCUGCCUUGUGCUAUAUUCAGGCACAGC